rnacentral:rRNA from 1 species
AGCGGCGAACGGGUGAGUAACACGUAGGUGAUCUGCCCAUCAGACGGGGACAACGAUUGGAAACGAUCGCUAAUACCGGAUAGGACGAAAGUUUAAAGGUGCUUCUGGCACCGCUGAUGGAUGAGCCUGCGGCGCAUUAGCUAGUUGGUAGGGUAAAGGCCUACCAAGGCGACGAAGCGUAGCCGACCUGAGAGGGUGAACGGCCACACUGGGACUGAGACACGGCCCAGACUCCUACGGGAGGCAGCAGUAGGGAAUCUUCGGCAAUGGGCGAAAGCCUGACCGAGCAACGCCGCGUGAAUGAUGAAGGCCUUCGGGUUGUAAAAUUCUGUUAUAAGGGAAGAACGACUUUAGUAGGAAAUGGCUAGAGUGUGACGGUACCUUAUGAGAAAGCCACGGCUAACUACGUGCCAGCAGCCGCGGUAAUACGUAGGUGGCGAGCGUUAUCCGGAAUUAUUGGGCGUAAAGAGCGCGCAGGUGGUUGAUUAAGUCUGAUGUGAAAGCCCACGGCUUAACCGUGGAGGGUCAUUGGAAACUGGUCGACUUGAGUGCAGAAGAGGGAAGUGGAAUUCCAUGUGUAGCGGUGAAAUGCGUAGAGAUAUGGAGAAACACCAGUGGCGAAAGCGGCUUCCUGGUCUGUAACUGACACUGAGGCGCGAAAGCGUGGGGAGCAACAGAUUAGAUACCCUGGGUAGUCCACGCCGUAACGAUGAGUGCUAAGUGU